CCUUGGUGUCCUCCAUUCCUUUUAACUUUUCCAACACAGUUCCUUCAGAGGGUUGGGUUGGAGUUUCCCAGCUAUGGCCAAGACCCAUAAUUUUUCAGCUGAAUUACUUCACAGUUACAACUGAGUAAAGAAGAGGAGAAACUGCUUCAUUAUCUGCUUUUCAAUUUUCUCCUGUGGGGCUUGGAAUCAAGAUGGGAACAGUAGCCAGGAGCCAGCUGUGGCAGACCACACACCCUUCCAGGCAGCGCGGCAGCUGCUCCUCCCUCUGAGGACACACACCACAGAUCUGAGGAUCAGGUGAUAGAUUACACAGGUUGUGUUAUCACCUCUUCUCUUUGUUAAUACCUCAGCUUUUCACCUGCC